rnacentral:tRNA from 1 species
GCGAGAGUAGCUCAGUGGUAGAGCAUCAGCUUCCCAAGCUGAGGGUCGCGGGUUCGACCCCCGUUUCUCGCU